AGCGUACACGGUGGAUGCCCUGGCAGUCAGAGGCGAUGAAGGACGUGCUAAUCUGCGAAAAGCGUCGGUAAGGUGAUAUGAACCGUUACAGCCGGCGAUGUCCGAAUGGGGAAACCCAGUGCAAUUCGUUGCACUAUCGUUAACUGAAUACAUAGGUUAACGAGGCGAACCGGGGGAACUGAAACAUCUAAGUACCCCGAGGAAAAGAAAUCAACCGAGAUUCCCCCAGUAGCGGCGAGCGAACGGGGAGCAGCCCGGAGUCUGAAUCAGCUUGUGUGUUAGUGGAAGCGUCUGGAAAGUCGCAGGGUACAGGGUGAUACUCCCGUACACUAAAACACACAGGUUGUGAACUCGAAGAGUAGGGCGGGACACGUGGUAUCCUGUCUGAAUAUGGGGGGACCAUCCUCCAAGGCUAAAUACUCCUGACUGACCGAUAGUGAACCAGUACCGUGAGGGAAAGGCGAAAAGAACCCCGGCGAGGGGAGUGAAAAAGAACCUGAAACCGUGUACGUACAAGCAGUAGGAGCCCACUUGUUGGGUGACUGCGUACCUUUUGUAUAAUGGGUCAGCGACUUAUAUUCUGUAGCAAGGUUAACCGUAUAGGGGAGCCGCAGGGAAACCGAGUCUUAACUGGGCGUUAAGUUGCAGGGUAUAGACCCGAAACCCGGUGAUCUAGCCAUGGGCAGGUUGAAGGUUGGGUAACACUAACUGGAGGACCGAACCGACUAAUGUUGAAAAAUUAGCGGAUGACUUGUGGCUGGGGGUGAAAGGCCAAUCAAACCGGGAGAUAGCUGGUUCUCCCCGAAAGCUAUUUAGGUAGCGCCUCGUGAACUCAUCUUCGGGGGUAGAGCACUGUUUCGGCUAGGGGGUCAUCCCGACUUACCAACCCGAUGCAAACUACGAAUACCGAAGAAUGUUAUCACGGGAGACACACGGCGGGUGCUAACGUCCGUCGUGAAGAGGGAAACAACCCAGACCGCCAGCUAAGGUCCCAAAGUCAUGGUUAAGUGGGAAACGAUGUGGGAAGGCCCAGACAGCCAGGAUGUUGGCUUAGAAGCAGCCAUCAUUUAAAGAAAGCGUAAUAGCUCACUGGUCGAGUCGGCCUGCGCGGAAGAUGUAACGGGGCUAAACCAUGCACCGAAGCUGCGGCAGCGACACUAUGUGUUGUUGGGUAGGGGAGCGUUCUGUAAGCCGUUGAAGGUGGCCUGUGAGGGUUGCUGGAGGUAUCAGAAGUGCGAAUGCUGACAUAAGUAACGAUAAUGCGGGUGAAAAACCCGCACGCCGGAAGACCAAGGGUUCCUGUCCAACGUUAAUCGGGGCAGGGUGAGUCGACCCCUAAGGCGAGGCCGAAAGGCGUAGUCGAUGGGAAACAGGUUAAUAUUCCUGUACUCGGUGUUACUGCGAAGGGGGGACGGAGAAGGCUAUGUUGGCCGGGCGACGGUUGUCCCGGUUUAAGCAUGUAGGCGGAUGUUCCAGGUAAAUCCGGAACGUUACUAACGCUGAGGUGUGAUGACGAGGCACUACGGUGCUGAAGUGACAAAUGCCCUGCUUCCAGGAAAAGCCUCUAAGCAUCAGGUAACAUCAAAUCGUACCCCAAACCGACACAGGUGGUCAGGUAGAGAAUACCAAGGCGCUUGAGAGAACUCGGGUGAAGGAACUAGGCAAAAUGGUGCCGUAACUUCGGGAGAAGGCACGCUGAUGGUAGGUGAAGCGACUUGCUCGUGGAGCUGAAAUCAGUCGAAGAUACCAGCUGGCUGCAACUGUUUAUUAAAAACACAGCACUGUGCAAACACGAAAGUGGACGUAUACGGUGUGACGCCUGCCCGGUGCCGGAAGGUUAAUUGAUGGGGUUAUCCUCGCGGAGAAGCUCUUGAUCGAAGCCCCGGUAAACGGCGGCCGUAACUAUAACGGUCCUAAGGUAGCGAAAUUCCUUGUCGGGUAAGUUCCGACCUGCACGAAUGGCGUAAUGAUGGCCAGGCUGUCUCCACCCGAGACUCAGUGAAAUUGAACUCGCUGUGAAGAUGCAGUGUACCCGCGGCAAGACGGAAAGACCCCGUGAACCUUUACUAUAGCUUGACACUGAACACUGGUCCUUGAUGUGUAGGAUAGGUGGGAGGCUUUGAAGUGUGGACGCCAGUCUGCAUGGAGCCAUCCUUGAAAUACCACCCUUUAAUGGCUGGUGUUCUAACGUGGGCCCGUAAUCCGGGUUGCGGACAGUGUCUGGUGGGUAGUUUGACUGGGGCGGUCUCCUCCUAAAGAGUAACGGAGGAGCACGAAGGUCAGCUAAUCCUGGUCGGACAUCAGGAGGUUAGUGCAAUGGCAUAAGCUGGCUUGACUGCGAGCGUGACGGCGCGAGCAGGUGCGAAAGCAGGUCAUAGUGAUCCGGUGGUUCUGAAUGGAAGGGCCAUCGCUCAACGGAUAAAAGGUACUCCGGGGAUAACAGGCUGAUACCGCCCAAGAGUUCAUAUCGACGGCGGUGUUUGGCACCUCGAUGUCGGCUCAUCACAUCCUGGGGCUGAAGUAGGUCCCAAGGGUAUGGCUGUUCGCCAUUUAAAGUGGUACGCGAGCUGGGUUUAGAACGUCGUGAGACAGUUCGGUCCCUAUCUGCCGUGGGCGCUGGAGAAUUGAGGGGGGCUGCUCCUAGUACGAGAGGACCGGAGUGGACGCAUCACUGGUGUUCGGGUUGUCAUGCCAAUGGCAUUGCCCGGUAGCUAAAUGCGGAAGAGAUAAGUGCUGAAAGCAUCUAAGCACGAAACUUGCCCCGAGAUGAGUUCU
rnacentral:rRNA from 1 species